rnacentral:rRNA from 1 species
AGAUUGAACGCUGGCGGCAUGCCUUACACAUGCAAGUCGAACGGUAGAGUAGCAAUACUCGAGAGUGGCGAACGGGUGAGUAAUAUAUCGGAACGUGCCCAGUCGUGGGGGAUAACGUAGAGAAAUUUACGCUAAUACCGCAUACGAUCUAAGGAUGAAAGCGGGGGACUCGCAAGAGCCUCGCGCGAUUGGAGCGGCUGAUAUCAGAUUAGGUUGUUGGUGAGGUAAAAGCUCACCAAGCCGACGAUCUGUAGCUGGUUUGAGAGAACGACCAGCCACACUGGGACUGAGACACGGCCCAGACUCCUACGGGAGGCAGCAGUGGGGAAUUUUGGACAAUGGGCGAAAGCCUGAUCCAGCAAUGCCGCGUGCAAGGAAGAAAGG